UACGGAGGGGGGCUAGCGUUGUUCGGAAUUACUGGGCGUAAAGCGCACGUAGGCGGCUUUGUAAGUUAGAGGUGAAAAGCCCGGGGCUCAACUCCGGAAUUGCCUUUAAGACUGCAUCGCUAGAAUUGUGGAGAGGUAAGUGGAAUUCCGAGUGUAGAGGUGAAAUUCGUAGAUAUUCGGAAGAACACCAGUGGCGAAGGCGACUUACUGGACACAUAUUGACGCUGAGGUGCGAAAGCGUGGGGAGCAAACAGGAUUAGAAACCC
rnacentral:rRNA from 1 species